rnacentral:rRNA from 1 species
AUGGAAGACGGUGGGGUUGAGUUCCUGCUUGAGGCCAUUGACAGGUUCCCAUUACGAGAGGAGUUCGCGGACAACCUCGAGCACCCAGAUCCGGUUCCCCCGGUCUUGUUGCCAAACAGCGGAGCCGGCCUUGCCGUUCCCGCGGACUCAAAUACUGGAUCUGGUUGCGCUCAACAGCUCGGCGGCGAUGGGAAUGAUAUGGCAGGAGUUCGAGUUCGCCGUCUCGCGGAUGCAUCACCGACGAGGUCGGCCCAGUCUACUGACAGAGUCAAUCCAGAGGCACCUGGGAGGACAAAAAAGGUUAUGGUUGGGCAGUGA